CAAUCGGCUCUUUUCAGAGCCACCCACCACUUUCGCAAAAGAGUAU
rfam:Anopheles maculatus strain maculatus3 cont1.17119, whole genome shotgun sequence.